AAACAAGAAGUUUGUUUAUUUAUUGUUUGUUUCCAUAGAAUAAACAAUCAGAGGCAGAGGCAGAGGCAGAGGCAGAGGCAGAGGCAGAGGCAGAGGAGGAGCCGCGAGGAGGAGGGGAGAAGCCGUUGCCGCGGCGACGCGCGGCUCGGGCGGGCGCUGUGCGGUGGCAGUGACGCACGGCUCUGCGCGCGCCCUGGAGACGCGUGAACGCGCGAGCGUCCUCCGGCCGGCCCCUUCCUCGUCGCCCUCGUCGUCCUCGCAAAUGCGGACUCAGAGCAAAGCAGCUCCCUUUGGCACGGGGAGGAGCGCCGCUAACUCGACCACGCUCGCUCCCGUGAGGCGGCUCGCUUGCCGGCGAUCUCCGACGGACGGCUCGCUAGGAGACGCCUGCAGUUCCCGUUCUGGCAGCGGCUCGGUGCAAGCGCAGGCCCAAGGGAGAUGUCAGCUGCGGAGACGUGCCCUUCCUCCACAGCACGGGAAAGCAAGUCGGGGAGAAGAGCUGCAGGCAGCUGAACCUAUAUGAGAAAAUGGAACUGAGAGACCCUGCGAAGGAGGAGAUCCCUGAGAAAAAGCGCAACACCAGCCAGAAGCUCAGCCUCGGAUACCUGCACAUGGCCGUCAGACAGAAGACGGGCAUGAAGACGAGAGCAGGGUCAGACCCUAAAGAACAGCAAGGCCACCUUGGCUAUGGAGCAGACAGUGGACCUGAAAUUGCAACAAGAAACAGGCUGCUCUUCAUUAACAUCCGUCGUUGCCGUCAUCCUCCCUACGGCUUCUCCUGUAAGAAGAUGUGGAAGAAGAGAAACUGAGCACAAAGCUGCCACCAUAUGUGCAAAAACCCCUGCAGAAUAAAAAGUCCUGCU
rnacentral:lncRNA from 1 species